rnacentral:rRNA from 1 species
GAUGAACGCUGGCGGCGUGCUUAACACAUGCAAGUCGAACGGAAAGGCCCAAGCUUGCUUGGGUACUCGAGUGGCGAACGGGUGAGUAACACGUGGGUGAUCUGCCCUGCACUUCGGGAUAAGCCUGGGAAACUGGGUCUAAUACUGGAUAGGACCACUUCUUGGAUGGUGUGGUGGAAAGUUUUUUCGGUGUUGGAUGAGCUCGCGGCCUAUCAGCUUGUUGGUGGGGUAAUGGCCUACCAAGGCGUCGACGGGUAGCCGGCCUGAGAGGGUGUACGGCCACAUUGGGACUGAGAGACGGCCCAGACUCCUACGGGAGGCAGCAGUGGGGAAUAUUGCACAAUGGGCGCAAGCCUGAUGCAGCGACGCCGCGUGGGGGAUGACGGCCUUCGGGUUGUAAACUCCUUUCGCUAGGGACGAAGCGUUUUUGUGACGGUACCUGGAGAAGAAGCACCGGCUAACUACGUG